UACGGUGUACCGCGAGUUAA
rnacentral:snRNA from 1 species